GACGAACGCUGGCGGCGUGCCUAAUACAUGCAAGUUGAGCGAUGAAGAUUGGUGCUUGCACCAAUUUGAAGAGCAGCGAACGGGUGAGUAACGCGUGGGGAAUCUGCCUUUGAGCGGGGGACAACAUUUGGAAACGAAUGCUAAUACCGCAUAACAACUUUAAACAUAAGUUUUAAGUUUGAAAGAUGCAAUUGCAUCACUCAAAGAUGAUCCCGCGUUGUAUUAGCUAGUUGGUGAGGUAAAGGCUCACCAAGGCGAUGAUACAUAGCCAACCUGAGAGGGUGAUCGGCCACAUUGGGACUGAGACACGGCCCAAACUCCUACGGGAGGCAGCAGUAGGGAAUCUUCGGCAAUGGACGAAAGUCUGACCGAGCAACGCCGCGUGAGUGAAGAAGGUUUUCGGAUCGUAAAACUCUGUUGGUAGAGAAGAACGUUGGUGAGAGUGGAAAGCUCAUCAAGUGACGGUAACUACCCAGAAAGGGACGGCUAACUACGUG
rnacentral:rRNA from 1 species